UGGGGAAUUUUGGACAAUGGGCGCAAGCCUGAUCCAGCCAUGCCGCGUGCAGGAUGAAGGCCUUCGGGUUGUAAACUGCUUUUGUACGGAACGAAAAGACUCCUUCUAAUAAAGGGGGUCCAUGACGGUACCGUAAGAAUAAGCACCGGCUAACUACGUGCCAGCAGCCGCGGUAAUACGUAGGGUGCGAGCGUUAAUCGGAAUUACUGGGCGUAAAGCGUGCGCAGGCGGUUAUAUAAGACAGGUGUGAAAUCCCCGGGCUCAACCAGGGAACUGCAUUUGUGACUGUAUAGCUAGAGUACGGCAGAGGGGGAUGGAAUUCCGCGUGUAGCAGUGAAAUGCGUAGAUAUGCGGAGGAACACCGAUGGCGAAGGCAAUCCCCUGGGCCUGUACUGACGCUCAUGCGCGAAAGCGUGGGGAGCAAACA
rnacentral:rRNA from 1 species